ACACGGGUCGUCCGUCAUUUGGUCACCGACAACCCAGAAUAUCAGAUCGUGGAGGAGUCAGCAUGCCAUUUUUAGCAAUAAUCAAGCAUGCCUUCUCACGUUCUCUGCAACGCUUCCUCCAACCAUCCCCAAAUUCGUCGUUUGUUCUUCUCUUCACAACGAGCAUCUCAUCCAGUCAUCAACCAUUGCAAUCGCGAGGGGUUGGCAAGGUAAUGGCCUGACACAGCCGCAUAGAUGUCAUACUAGGUGAGUACAGUACCUCUCUAGUCGCAUCCUCCUCUACUCUGCUCAAACUAUUUGGACAACCACGGUGACCUCCUAAAUGGCAUCGUCCUCUAUCUGAAUCCCGCCACGUCACAGCGAUUAGUAUUUAUUGAUUUCAGUCAGUUGUGGAGCCUAUCUGGCUACCCAAGCAUACACCAAUACUACCGUCAAGCAUACACCAAUAUUCCAGUCUAAGUUAUACUGCAAUUACUAGCAGUCGUCCCUCUUCAGAUUUUGCAGAAAGGGGAAACAGAGCAUGUUGAAUGGAGAUUGCCAAUGAAAUAGGUAAAAUAAAAUUUCAUCCAAGUUUUAUUUAUUAAUGGAUGGGUUGUCCUAUAUACUAGAGAUGGUGAGUCUGAUUUGCCUAAGAAGUUGUCCGGCAGUGUUGUGAUAUCUCUCUAAUGUCCAUUGAAGUACUUGAUGAAUAGGUAUUGCACCAUAUUUGAGGGUAAGUUCGCCUAUAUCCAUGACAAAGCUUUUCUUCAUUUUAGUACUAUUGAACUAUAUAUUUAUUUCGCUUAGUUUGUCUUUGCAAAUUUUUAUCAAACUACCUGAUGGGUGUAUAUUUCAUAAUGCCUAUGUUGUUUGUUGUAAGACAAACACUUGAGCAUUGUAAGAGAAUGUUGAUAUGAUUUCUCCUAUUUUAUAGAUCUUUUCUAUCAGACAUAUUUCUUUGUUUCAAUGUAAUACUCUUAAACAUAGAGAUUUUAUAUAUUUAAACAAGUAUUAUUUCUUUA